rnacentral:rRNA from 1 species
CGUAGGUGGCAAGCGGUUGUCCGGAAUUAUUGGGCGUAAAGCGCGCGCAGGCGGUUCCUUAAGUCUGAUGUGAAAGCCCCCGGCUCAACCGGGGAAGGUCAUUGGAAACUGGGGAACUUGAGUGCAGAAGAGAAGAGCGGAAUUCCACGUGUAGCGGUGAAAUGCGUAGAGAUGUGGAGGAACACCAGUGGCGAAGGCGGCUCUUUGGUCUGUAACUGACGCUGAGGCGCGAAAGCGUGGGGAGCAAACAGGAUUAGAUACCCUGGUAGUCCACGCCGUAAACGAUGAGUGCUAAGUGUUAGAGGGUUUCCGCCCUUUAGUGCUGCAGCUAACGCAUUAAGCACUCCGCCUGGGGAGUACGGCCGCAAGGCUG